GAUGAACGCUGACAGAAUGCUUAACACAUGCAAGUCGAUGGGGAAGUGGUGCUUGCACCAUGGUAACCAUGGCGGACGGGUGAGUAACGCGUAAGGAACUUACCUGCGGGACCGGGAUAACAGCAGGAAACUGCUGACAAGACCGGAUAAGGUCAUUAAGCUGCAUAGCUUAGUGAUGAAAGGAGACGCCUGCGGAGAGCCUUGCGUCCUAUUAGCUAGUUGGAGGGGUAACGGCCCACCAAGGCGAAGAUAGGUAGCCGGCCUGAGAGGGUGGACGGCCACAAGGGGACUGAGAUACGGCCCCUACUCCUACGGGAGGCAGCAGUGGGGAAUAUUGGACAAUGGGGGCAACCCUGAUCCAGCAAUUCUGUGUGCACGAAGACGGUUUUCGGAUUGUAAAGUGCUUUCAGCAGGGAAGAAGGAAGUGACGGUACCUGCAGAAGAAGCGACGGCUAAAUACGUG
rnacentral:rRNA from 1 species